AGAACCCAAUGAAAUGAACCGCAGCGUUUAAAAGGACCCGAAAUACCCUUAGAAAGCCGAGUAUUGACAAUUCUGGUCGAGUGAAGGAUUGAGAGUGCGCAGACGUCACAGAGAUAGACUUGCCAUUGUUGUUUGGGUUUCCUUUAAUUAUCUCAUUUUUUAAGGGAAAUGUCUGCUGAAGGAGGUGCAGCAGCAGCGGGGGGGGCUGCUCCAGAGGGGGCCCCUCCUACGGGGGAGAAUGGCGAGAUUGUGGGAGGACCCCGAGGACCCCAGCAGGUGGCAGCACAGAAACGACUUCAACAGACCCAGGCGCAAGUCGAUGAGGUUGUGGGAAUAAUGCGAGUCAACGUGGCAAGAGUAUUGGAACGUGAUCAGAAACUGUCUGAACUCGAUGACCGAGCAGAUGCCCUUCAGCAGGGAGCCUCACAGUUUGAGCAGCAGGCUGGAAAACUAAAGAGGAAAAUGUGGUGGAAGAACAUUAAGAUGAUGAUCAUUAUGGGAGUCAUCGGUCUUAUUGUCCUCAUCAUCAUUGUUGUUAACUUCAUGUAAAUCGUCGUGUAUCAAUGUCUUCUGUAUGUGCGCUCUUGAAACAAAAAACAAGUUUGGGCCACGAACAGCUCCGAGUGAAGAUCAACAGCCACCGUACCAAGCCAAGGAGAACUUAAUGCUGAAACCAUGGAAUGAAUGUACAAUAUUAGGUUUUGGUUGAUUGCCGCUAUGUACAUAAUAGGGAGCCUCUAUGUCAACCUUUGUAUCAGUGUAGUG
rnacentral:misc_RNA from 1 species